GACGAACGCUGGCGGCGUGCUUAACACAUGCAAGUCGAGCGGAAAGGCCCUUCGGGGUACUCGAGCGGCGAACGGGUGCGUAACACGUGAGUAACCUUCCCUAGACUUUGGGAUAACCCUCGGAAACGGGGGCUAAUACCGGAUACUCCUUCUAAAUCCCAUUGUUUGGUUGGGAAAGUUUUUCGGUCGGGGAUGGACUCGCGGCCUAUCAGCUUGUUGGUGGGGUAAUGGCCUACCAAGGCGAGGACGGGUAGCCGGCCUGAGAGGGCGACCGGCCACACUGGGACUGAGACACGGCCCAGACUCCUACGGGAGGCAGCAGUGGGGAAUAUUGCACAAUGGGCGGAAGCCUGAUGCAGCGACGCCGCGUGAGGGAUGACGGCCUUCGGGUUGUAAACCUCUUUCAGCAGGGACGAAACGUAAGUGACGGUACCUGCAGAAGAAGCGCCGGCCAACUACGUG
rnacentral:rRNA from 1 species